rnacentral:lncRNA from 1 species
GUUAUUUCAAGAGCAGAUGGCAACUUUUGAGAUGGGGAACAUCAAAGGACUUUAUGUAAAGCUAGGGUGUGUGUCGGGUCGGUUUGGAACGCUACGGGUUACGGGUCGGGUCGGCAAGGGACGAUGGAGGUAGGCGGUUUUAUAUAUACCCGUAGAUAUAGAACAUUGCCCCACUUUAAUUUUGCAAAGCACCCUAUACAUUUACCUAUUUGAUGGUGUUUUAUCUAUGAUUCUUAUGCAAUUACAAUUGUUAUUUAAUUACUCGAUGUUUUGAUUAAUAGUGCAAAAUUGCGGGAAAGACAAAUAUGACAGGGGCGUGGGAAAGGAUUGAUUAGCAUUUACAUAGUUGAACAUGCUGAGUUGCUGACUUAAAGGUAUGAUAAUUGAUAAAGAAAUUUAACUUUUUAACCCACCAAUAGUGCUUGUGUUUUGUUUUGUUAUAUUAAUAUCUAACUUCGUUACAAACCAUAUCAUGCACUGCUAAGCAUUCCAGAAGUUUUACACCCUCUACACCAGUCGUCAACAUUACUUGCUCAAAGAACAACACUCGCAGUAUGACUCCUUUUAUGUAAGUUGAAAAGUUUUAUAAAAAAGUGGAUGAACAAGAUAACAAUGGCGAGAUUUUAUGAACCAGUGUAUCGGCUAGAAGCAACCGAAUGAGAUAAUAACGAAAACAACAAUCAGUGAGUUACCUCAAGUGGAAAUCGGUGAGAGUUCAAAGCGUACUGCCGUCUAUAAUCAGGCGUCGUGCCACCAGACUUCUUCGCAGCGAACAAGAAGGUUAACGAAGAGUGAGGGGAAGGUGAGAGGGAACUGUGUGUGAGGGUUUUUGUGAGAACAUGGCAGAGUGGGGGAUUUACGGAUUGAUUCAGAAUGAUGAACGAAAUUCAAAGCUUGAUUUGGUUCGUUUGACUUUAGAUU